rnacentral:lncRNA from 1 species
AUGGACGAUGGAGCAGCAAAGCCCAAAGAGUCUGGCCUGAACUCAACCGCAAAGGAGCCCAAGGAGGCAGCUGGAGCUGGAGCUGUAGUUGGUGCUGGUGCUGUAGUUGGUGCUGGUGCUGUAGUUGGUGCUGGUGCUGUAGUUGGUGCUGGUGCUGUAGUUGGUGCUGCGGAGCCUCAGGCCGUGGACCAGAAUCAAGCACAGGCCAGGCACAAGGGUGCAGAGGUUGGGGGUCCAAAUGCAGCCGUUCAAGCAGCUUACAAGGAGGAUGACCAUGUUGCAGUUGGAGGAGAAUCCCGUAAGCAGAGUGAGCUAGGGGCUAGGGGAGUCCCGCUGGUAAAGACACGAUCUGAUAACCGUCAGCCAGUACCUCAAAAUGAUCAGGUAGCUCAACUUAAAGAGGAGGAAGUCGGCUUAGAUGAGGUAAAGAAGAAAAUUGAAAAUCUUAAAAAAGAACAGAUAGAGAAAGAAGUUCAGGCAAGAGUGGAAAAAGAACGGCGCGAUCGCGAGAUGAAGGAAACGCUGGCCAAAGAGCAGGAGCUGGAGGUGGAGAGAGCCGUAAAGGCUAAACUCUUAGAGGAAAAGGCUGCAGAAGAGAGACUUCAGCGGAAUACAGACAAUGAAAUACUUGAGAGAGCGAAGAAAGAGAAAAAGACCGAAGAGGCUCAGGAGAGGCUGGCCCAGCUGGGGCAAGCUAUAGAAGACAGACAGGCUGCACAGGGGGCUGAGAGAGAAGAUGGUGGAGCUUUGAAGAAAGGAGGACGAGACCUCAAAGAGAAAGCUGCUGCUGCUCAGGCGGACCCCGGAGAAGGUGUGCAAGACGAGGCCGUCAAAGCCGAUGCUCACCCCCAAGGCUCCCACGAGAAGAUUGGGGACCGGGGAGAGAUGGAUCUAAGACGGAGACGCAGAGCACUGGGACCGAGAGAAGCUGGAGGGCCCCCAGAGGAGACCGGGGAGUCCAGGGGGAUGCCGGGGCUGGAGCCCCUGCUGGAGCUGGGAGGCUCUGACCUGCACGUGGCCCUGGAGGAGCAGCUACUGGCUGGGGCAAUGGUGCACUCGCGGCAGAUUAAACAGGCCUCAGAGGGUGAGGGGGCGACAUAA